rnacentral:rRNA from 1 species
GAUGAACGCUAGCUACAGGCUUAACACAUGCAAGUCGAGCGGAAUGGCUUCGGCCAUUUAGCGGCAGACGGGUGAGUAACACGUAUCCAACCUUUCCCUUACUCGGGUAUAGCCUCGGGAAACUGAGAGUAAUCCCCGAUGAAGUGUACGAGGAGCAUUUUUUGCACACCAAAGAUUUAUCGGUGAGGGGUGGGGAUGCGUUCCAUUAGUUAGUAGGCGGGGCAACGGCCCACCUAUACGAUGAUGGAUAGGGGUUCUGAUAGGAAGGUCCCCCACAUUGGAACUGCGACACGGUCCAAACUCCUACGGGAGGCAGCAGUGAGGAAUAUUGGGUCAUGGUCGGAAGACUGAACCAGCCAAGUAGCGUGCAGGAUGACGGCCCUAUGGGUUGUAAACUGCUUUUGUGCGGGAAUAACGUACGCCACGUGUGGUGUAGUGCAUGUACCGUACGAAUAAGGAUCGGCUAACUCCGUGCCAGCAGCCGCGGUAAUACGGAGGAUCCGAGCGUUAUCCGGAUUUAUUGGGUUUAAAGGGAGCGUAGGCGGGAAGUCAAGUCAGCUGUGAAAUGUAGACGCUCAACGUCUGCACUGCAGUUGAAACUGGUUUUCUUGAGUGCGUAAGAGGCAGGCGGAAUUCGUCGUGUAGCGGUGAAAUGCUUAGAUAUGACGAAGAACUCCGAUCGCGAAGGCAGCUUGCCGGGCCGCAACUGACGCUGAAGCUCGAAGGUGCGGGUAUCGAACA